UACGAAGGUGGCUAGCGUUGUUCGGAAUCACUGGGCGUAAAGGGCGCGUAGGCGGCUUUAUAAGUCGGGGGUGAAAGCCUGUGGCUCAACCACAGAAUUGCCUUCGAUACUGUAUGGCUUGAGACCGGAAGAGGUAAGUGGAACUGCGAGUGUAGAGGUGAAAUUCGUAGAUAUUCGCAAGAACACCAGUGGCGAAGGCGGCUUACUGGUCCGGUUCUGACGCUGAGGCGCGAAAGCGUGGGGAGCAAACAGG
rnacentral:rRNA from 1 species